rnacentral:lncRNA from 1 species
GCUCCUAAAACCAUGUUGUAUUCUAACAGACUAUCCAAUUAUUGACUCUCCACAUUCAAAUAUAUUUCCAUGUCAUUUUUUCUUUUUUUUUCUCCAACGUCGCUCCUACGUAAUCACGCCGCCGCCGGCACUUGCACCUGGGGCUCUUUGGUUCGCGCCCUCCAGGCAGCCACCCUGCCGGGCAGCGACGCCAGGCGCUCGAUUUCGAGUGCCUGCGGCUGGGAUCGCUGCCUGGCACCGGCAGCUGCCUGCCAGGCACAAACCAAACAGGCACAAACCAAGGACUAGCACCUGGCGCCUCCGGCAAUUGCACCUGCACUUGACGCC